GUGCUGCAUGGCUGUCGUCAGCUCGUGUUGUGAAAUGUUGGGUUAAGUCCCGCAACGAGCGCAACCCUUAUCCUUUGUUGCCAGCACGUCAUGGUGGGAACUCAAAGGAGACUGCCGGUGAUAAACCGGAGGAAGGUGGGGAUGACGUCAAGUCAUCAUGGCCCUUACGAGUAGGGCUACACACGUGCUACAAUGGCGCAUACAAAGAGAAGCGAACUUGCGAGAGUAAGCGGACCUCAUAAAGUGCGUCGUAGUCCGGAUUGGAGUCUGCAACUCGACUCCAUGAAGUCGGAAUCGCUAGUAAUCGUAGAUCAGAAUGCUACGGUGAAUACGUUCCCGGGCCUUGUACACACCGCCCGUCACACCAUGGGAGUGGGUUGCAAAAGAAGUAGGUAGCUUAACCUUCGGGAGGGCGCUUACCACUUUGUGAUUCAUGACUGGGGUGAAGUCGUAACAAGGUAACCGUAGGGGAACCUGCGGUUGGAUCACCUCCUUACC
rnacentral:rRNA from 1 species